UACAGAGGUCCCAAGCGUUGUCCGGAUUCACUGGGCGUAAAGGGUGCGUAGGUGGUUGGGUAAGUCUGAUGUGAAAUCUCCGAGCUCAACUCGGAAAUGGCAUUGGAUACUAUUCGGCUAGAGGAGUGGAGGGGGGACUGGAAUACUUGGUGUAGCAGUGAAAUGCGUAGAUAUCAAGUGGAACACCAGUGGCGAAGGCGAGUCCCUGGACACUUCCUGACACUGAGGCACGAAAGCUAGGGGAGCAAACAGG
rnacentral:rRNA from 1 species